rnacentral:rRNA from 1 species
AACGAACGCUGGCGGCAUGCCUAACACAUGCAAGUCGAACGAGACCUUCGGGUCUAGUGGCGCACGGGUGCGUAACGCGUGGGAACCUGCCCAUAGGUUUGGAAUAACUCCCCGAAAGGGGUGCUAAUACCGGAUAAAGUCUUCGGACCAAAGAUUGAUCGACUUUGGAUGGGCCCGCGUUGGAUUAGCUUGUUGGUAGGGUAAAAGCCUAUCAAGGCGACGAUCCAUAGCUGGUUUGAGAGGAUGAGCAGCCACACUGGGACUGAGACACGGCCCAGAAUCCUACGGGAGGCAGCAGAGGGUAAUAUUGGACAGUGGGCGAAAGCAUGAUGCAGCAAUGCCUCGUGAGUGAUGAAGGCCUGAGGGUUGUAAAGCUCUUUUACCCGGGAUGAUAUUGACAUUACCGGGAGAAUAAGCUCCGGCUAACUCCGUG